GCGCUUGCUUCAACAGCACGUGUACUAAAAUUGGAAGGAUACAGAGAUUAGCAUGUCCCCUGCACAAGGAUGACGCACAAAUACGUGAAUCAUUCCAUAUUAAA
ensembl:snRNA U6 U6 spliceosomal RNA